rnacentral:rRNA from 1 species
GACAUGGGUUAGUCGAUCCUAAGAGAUAGGGAAGCUCCGUUUCAAAGUGCCUGCUUGUUCAGGCCGCCUAUCGAAAGGGAAUCCGGUUAAGAUUCCGGAACCAGGAUGUGGAUUUUUAACGGCAACGUAAAUGAACUUGGAGACGCUGGCGAGAGCCCCGGGAAGAGUUAUCUUUUCUCCUUAACAGUCUACCACCCUGAAAUCGGUUUGUCCGG